UCAAAAGUGUCCAUAACAAUUUGUUAAAAUUUAAUGAAAAAAAUAAAAUAAAUUUGACUAACCUAGUAGUUAUUUCAUAUUAUUAGUUUUCGAUGUGUGUAAACAAAUACCUCUGCGUACCUUUGCGCAUGCGCGAUGCGGGAAAUUGGAAACAUCAUAACAAAAAUGGCGAACACCCGAUCUAAGUGGAAGGGUCCUGAAUCAGUUUUAACCGAGAGCACGAAGAAACGAAUAAUCGAGAACGUGAUUUUAACUUCACAAAGACGAACACGUAUCUUAGAGACAGAGCAAGCAGACGGCAUCAGUUAAAAAAGACCGAAGGGAUUAAAACAGACCCUCCUUUGGCCAAGCUAAUGCCUUGAACAGUUUUGAAAGCAAGCCUGAGAUCUAGAGCGUACGUAUAGAUCUGGUCAUAAAGAAACUGAAGCCAAUGAAGAUGACCACAGGCGACAUGGAGUACAUGCAGCCACUACGGACGACACUAUUACUAGUCGCACUUAGAUAUCACAGGAUUUAUAACACAAAAGUUCUUGGAGGACAAAAAGUGCCGUACAAGGUGGAAAGGACAUACCAACACAUCCAGGGACUCAUCAAUCUGAUAGUGGCCAACAGAAUAACAGAUAGAACUGGAAUAUCUAGCCAAAACCCUUGCAUCAAAUAGAUCCUAGAAGAUUCAAACUCCUAGCCCAUGCUCCUCCACCAUCUACUGCCCAAAUGGUAGAGGAGAAGAAAUCCCAAUUAAGAUGAAUGGGAAUAAUUGACAUUUUGAGACUAAUCACGUUCCAGAGACUAUUACUUUUGAAUAUCUGUCCUUACGUUUAGUAGCUGACCUGGUCUGAAGGACCAAGGUGAGUAUGCCAUACUGAGGCGUCCGGCAUUCGUCUGUCAACAUUGUCAACACAAUAUUUGAAUAACUUGAGUAAAUGUCAGAAUAUACCAAAUUUGAUAAAACUUUAUAAGCAGC